UACGGAGGGGGCGAGCGUUGUUCUGAAUCACUGGGCGUAAAGAGUGCGUAGGCGGUUAUACAAGUCAGAAGUGAAAUCCCAGGGCUUAACCCUGGAAUUGCUUUUGAGACUGUAUGACUAGAGAUCUAGAGAGGUUGGGGGAAUUCCGAGUGUAGAGGUGAAAUUCGCAGAUAUUCGGAGGAACACCAGUGGCGUAGGCGCCCAACUGGCUAGAUACUGACGCUGAGGCACGAAAGCGUGGGGAGCAAACAGG
rnacentral:rRNA from 1 species